AUGGACGAUUUGCCGCACUGCACCUGCGAGAAGACCCAGUGCCUCCAGCGCUACUGCCAUUGCUUCGAGGCCUCGGUGUUCUGCGACGAGGGGUGCUCCUGCCAGGGUUGCCGCAACACAGAGGACAACUCCGAUGAGGUGGAUGAGCGCGCAGAGUGCAUCAUGAAGAAGAAACCCGACGCCUUCAAGCCCAAGAUCAUCGCCGGCGAUGGGCCUGGGCUGCAACAGCAGCAGCAGCAAGCAGCAGGGGUGCACGUCAAGGGGUGCAACUGCCGCAAUUCUGAAUGCAAGAAGCUCUACUGUGAGUGCUUCAAGCACGGCGUCGGGUGCAGCGACAAGUGCCAGUGCACAGGGUGCGGCAACACCUUCGGAGUGAAAGGCGCGGCUCAACAAGCACAUAGUGACAGUCCUGAAGGAACAUCUGGCGGCUCCGGUGAAACACUUGCCCGUUCGAAUGGAUCGUCCGCAAUCAUCAACGACUACAUGGCUUCUCAGUUGACAGAAAUAAGAAUCAUGGAUGAUAUCCACAUCCCCGGCAAAUUGAGUCACAUGGAUGUUGAUCUUGGUCCACCAACUCAAGACCUGGGUGACGGCGGCCUCGAGGACAUCAUCUUCUAUUCAGACUUUCAGCAGAUUAUUGAUCCCCAAGCACAUCAGGGGUUGGCGCAGCAGGCUGAUGCAUCGCUGAGCAAUGACACAAACUCCCUACUAGAGCAGGGCCCUUCAAAAACUGACACUUGUGAUCUUCUCCACCAUGGUAGCCAGAUCAACAAACUCGGUGGAAUUUGA
rnacentral:rRNA from 1 species